UUUUGCUAGAGGUGGAUUUUGCUAGAGGUGGAUUUUGCUAGAGGUGGAUUUUGCUAGAGGUGGAUUUUGCUAGAGGUGGAUUUUGCUAGAGGUGGAUUUUGCUAGAGGUGGAUUUUGCUAGAGGUGGAUUUUGCUAGAGGUGGAUUUUGCUAGAGGUGGAUUUUGCUAGAGGUGGAUUUUGCUAGAGGUGGAUUUUGCUAGAGGUGGAUUUUGCUAGAGGUGGAUUUUGCUAGAGGUGGAUUUUGCUAGAGGUGGAUUUUGCUAGAGGUGGAUUUUGCUAGAGGUGGAUUUUGCUAGAGGUGGAUUUUGCUAGAGGUGGAUUUUGCUAGAGGUGGAUUUUGCUAGAGGUGGAUUUUGCUAGAGGUGGAUUUUGCUAGAGGUGGAUUUUGCUAGAGGUGGAUUUUGCUAGAGGUGGAUUUUGCUAGAGAUUUUCUGGGAGGUCAUUGCAGAGAGUUGGUAUGUUUUGUGAGUUAGUUGCUCAGAUAGAGCUUAUUUGAUGUCCUUUGUUUCUUAGUUUGUUUGUGAAAUUGUUUAAUAUUCUGUUUCAUUUGUUCCCAGGGGGAAGGGGAAGGCACCUAGGGAGUGCUUAGGCAAGAGGCCCGCGGGCAUACAUAUACCCGUAGCAUAUUCGCUGUCUAGGCACACUAGUUUUUCAGUCUCUCGGUCCCAGCUUUGACGCACCUGUACUGACCACGCCUUCUGGAUGAUGACGGGGUGAACAGGCCGUGGCUCGGGUGGUUGACGUCCUUG